rnacentral:rRNA from 1 species
UACGAAGGGGGCUAGCGUUGCUCGGAAUCACUGGGCGUAAAGGGUGCGUAGGCGGCCAGACAAGUCUGCUGUGAAAACUCGAGGCUCAACCUCGAGCUGUCGGUGGAAACUGUCUGGCUAGAGUCCGGAAGAGGAGAGUGGAAUUCCUGGUGUAGCGGUGAAAUGCGCAGAUAUCAGGAAGAACACCUAUGGCGAAGGCAGCUCUCUGGGACGGUACUGACGCUGAGACGCGAAAGCGUGGGGAGCGAACAGG